UCCAGACAGAGCCUGGGGUUUUGCAAGGUGACAUCCUAACAUGACCACAUCUCUGCAUUCAAGAGCUUUAAGUGAAGGUCUAAUGCUGAUUGUUGACCUAAUCAGCAUUCCUGCUCUAGGAAAUUUUGGCACUCAACGUAAUUCCCACAG